UACGGAGGGGGCGAGCGUUAUUCGGAAUUAUUGGGCGGAAAGGGCGCGUAGGCGGCCCGGUAAGUCAAAGGUGAAAUCCCUCGGCUCAACUGAGGAACUGCCUUUGAAACUGUCGGGCUUGAGGCCGGGAGGGGGUAGCGGAAUUCCCAGUGUAGCGGUGAAAUGCGUAGAUAUUGGGAGGAACACCGGUGGCGAAGGCAGCUUACUAGGCUGUAACUGACGCUGAGGCACGAAAGUGUGGGGAUCAAACAGG
rnacentral:rRNA from 1 species